AUUGAACGCUGGCGGCAGGCCUAACACAUGCAAGUCGAGCGAGCGGCGGACGGGUGAGUAAUGUCUGGGAACCUGCCUGAUGGAGGGGGAUAACUACUGGAAACGGUAGCUAAUCCCGCCUACAAUCAGAUGUGCCCCGCUUGGAUUAGCUAGUCGGUGGGGUAACGGCUAACCUAGGCGACGAUCCCUAGCUGGUCUGAGAGGAUGACCAGCCACACUGGAACUGAGACACGGUCCAGACUCCUACGGGAGGCAGCAGUGGGGAAUAUUGCACAAUGGGCGCAAGCCUGAUGCAGCCAUGCCGCGUGUAUGAAGAAGGCCUUCGGGUUGUAAAGUACUUUCAGCGGGGAGGCGUUACCCGCAGAAGAAGCACCGGCUAACUCCGUGCCAGCAGCCGCGGUAAUUC
rnacentral:rRNA from 1 species